rnacentral:rRNA from 1 species
GUGAGUAACCUGCCCUUGACUUUGGGAUAACUUCAGGAAACUGGGGCUAAUACCGGAUAGGAGCUCCUGCUGCAUGGUGGGGGUUGGAAAGUUUCGGCGGUUGGGGAUGGACUCGCGGCUUAUCAGCUUGUUGGUGGGGUAGUGGCUUACCAAGGCUUUGACGGGUAGCUGGCCUGAGAGGGUGACCGGCCACAUUGGGACUGAGAUACGGCCCAGACUCCUACGGGAGGCGGCAGUGGGGAAUAUUGCACAAUGGGCGGAAGCCUGAUGCAGCAACGCCGCGUGCGGGAUGACGGCCUUCGGGUUGUAAACCGCUUUCGCCUGUGACGAAGCGUGAGUGACGGUAAUGGGUAAAGAAGCACCGGCUAACUACGUGCCAGCAGCCGCGGUGAUACGUAGGGUGCGAGCGUUGUCCGGAUUUAUUGGGCGUAAAGGGCUCGUAGGUGGUUGAUCGCGUCGGAAGUGUAAUCUUGGGGCUUAACCCUGAGCGUGCUUUCGAUACGGGUUGACUUGAGGAAGGUAGGGGAGAAUGGAAUU